GCGGCAGUGAUGGACGAAGACAACGGCCGGCUGCAACAAGCUUGAAGACGGCGAGGAAAUCGGCAACGGGCGGACGCUGGCACUGAUGGCGUGACCAGGGAGCAGCCGGACCGCGCAGCGAGCAGAUCCGCAGCGUGCGACUACGACGAGCCGAGGGUGAGUGGCGGUGGACAACGACGAGCAGCCGAGGUGUUGGAUGGGCUCGCUGGUGGCGAGGAGGCGGAGCUGCCAGCGCGCCAGUGUGGACUCGGAAUUGAUGGGCUAGGGCACCGCCGUGUUGACCGGCGGAAGCACGGAAGAAAAAAAAAAAGGAGAAGAGAGAAAAAAAGAAGGAAGAAGGAAGAAAAAAAUAUAAAAAUUCCAUGUCAUCGUUCACGGGGCGUGCCACGUAGGCAAAAUCACGGUCAAACGCAGCUUUAGACCGAGAUGAUACAAUAAACCAAGUUUAGAGAUCUCGAUGUACGCUUUGCAAGUUCAUGGACCUAAGUGAAACCUCCUGACAAGUUUAAGGACCGCUGGUGCAUUUUACUCUUAUUUUUAUCUAUAUUUAAUGCU